AACGAACGCUGGCGGCAGGCCUAACACAUGCAAGUCGAGCGAACCGCAAGGUUAGCGGCGGACGGGUUAGUAACGCGUGGGAACGUGCCCAAAGGUACGGAAUAGCCUCGGGAAACUGAGAGUAAUACCGUAUGUGCCCGAAAGGGGAAAGAUUUAUCGCCUUUGGAUCGGCCCGCGUUGGAUUAGGUAGUUGGUGGGGUAAUGGCCUACCAAGCCGACGAUCCAUAGCUGGUUUGAGAGGAUGAUCAGCAACACUGGGACUGAGACACGGCCCAGACUCCUACGGGAGGCAGCAGUGGGGAAUCUUAGACAAUGGGGGAAACCCUGAUCUAGCCAUGCCGCGUGAGCGAUGAAGGCCUUAGGGUUGUAAAGCUCUUUCACCGGGGAAGAUAAUGACGGUACCCGGAGAAGAAGCCCCGGCUAACUCCGUGCCAGCAGCCGCAGUAAAAC
rnacentral:rRNA from 1 species